UCCUACGGGAGGCAGCUGUGGGGAAUAUUGCACAAUGGGCGGAAGCCUGAUGCAGCGACGCCGCGUGAGGGAUGACGGCCUUCGGGUUGUAAACCUCUGUUGCCCCAGACGAAGCGAGAGUGACGGUAUGGGGUGAGGAAGCACCGGCUAACUACGUGCCAGCAGCCGCGGUAAUACGUAGGGUGCGAGCGUUGUCCGGAAUUAUUGGGCGUAAAGAGCUCGUAGGCGGCUCGUCGCGUCGGAUGUGAAAGCCCGGGGCUUAACUCCGGGUCUGCAUUCGAUACGGGCGGGCUUGAGUUCGGUAGGGGAGACUGGAAUUCCUGGUGUAGCGGUGAAAUGCGCAGAUAUCAGGAGGAACACCGGUGGCGAAGGCGGGUCUCUGGGCCGAUACUGACGCUGAGAGCGAAU
rnacentral:rRNA from 1 species